CUUAUUUCAGAACAUCACAUUACAAAACAUUUCUUCUGUUCUAGGCUAGGGCAGUAUAUUAUAUCACAUUACACUUCCCAAACGGGCCCUUAGUGUAUUUUGGGUGUUAGUAAAAAGGAAGGAAGUAGAAAAUAAUAAUAAUUAAAAAAAAACAAAAAGGAAGGAAAAGAGAAAAAGUGUCAACCCUAGUCAAUUGUACGACAACGCGUCUUUGCUCCAACGAACUCUUUUAAUUUGAUGAACAAGACUCUUGGUCGCUGUUCCACCGCUCAUUUUUUGCACUCAAAAUAAUUGAACUGUACGAGAGGCGUCUUCUGCUUUUUAUAAAGCUGAGAUUUGGAUCGGGUGAGAGUCAGAUAUCGAGUCUGGCGUGGAUACAGAGCUUUGCAUCCUAUUACUUUGAGAAGUCCCCAACUUUUUGUGGGAUUUUAACAAAUUCAAGGCCGCUUUGUGGACACUUCACUUGGGUAUUCAACAGGUCCAUUUGCCAAAAAAGGAGCAAAAUCAAGGCUUUGUAGAGUUUUGGCCAUCAAAAGGCACAAUUCUGAAAUUCUGGCAGCAGUGAAGCCCAAACUUUGUUCGCCAUUUUGACCUUGCAAACUUGAGAACUGGACUUCCAUUAUAAAAUGGCAUAUUUAGAGCUCUGAAUUAGCUUUCCAAAUCUUCAAGCGGUUCAUCAUUCGGAGCUUGGAGCAGAGGUGCGCAGAACUGCCUGGCAGAAAUGAAAUUCUGCCUUGAUCUUCAUUUUCGGCCAACCAUCCUUGAGAAUUGGAUCUCUACCAAAACAUGAAGUUUUUAGAGCUCUGAAUUAGCUUUCCAAAUCUUCAAACGGUUCAUCAUUUGGAGUUUAGAGCAUAAAGUUAUGGCCGUUUUACCAAAGUAGGUCCGGGCGGAGCAAACCAAGCAUAGGGCAUUCUGGCCAAUUUUCGAGUGCUCGAGGCCUUAUUUCGAGUACUCGAAAUUAGGGCAGAUUGCUUCACGAGAUCAGCAGUGGAGUUAGGAUUUUGCUCGCCAUUUUGACCCAGAAAGGUCGAGAACUGGACUUCCAUCAUAACAUGAAAGAUUUAGAGCUCUGAAUUAGCUUUCUAAAUCUUCAAACGGUUCAUCAUUUGGAGCUUGGAGCGGAGAGUUAUGGCCUUGUUACCAGAGGUGCGUAGAACUGCCUGGCAGCACUGAAGUACUGCCUUUCUCCCCAUUUUCGACCAACCAGACUUGAGAUUUGGGUCUUCAUCAAAACAUGAAGUUUUUAAAGCUCUGAAUCAGCUCUCCAAAUCUUUAAACGGUUUGUCAUUCGGAGUUCGGAGUGCAAAGUUAUGGCUGUUUAACCAAAGUAGGUCUGGGCGGAGCAAGGCAAGAAUGGAGCAUUCUGCUCCAAUUUUGAGUGCUCGAGCCCUUAUUUCGAGUGCUCGAAAUUAGGGCAGAAUUGCAUCCGUAAAUGGCCCAUUUUUAGCCACUUGCAUCUUGGGUUCCUCAAUUCUAAUUUCCCUCUUUAAUGGUUGGUUGGAGAUGUUGGUUGGUGGGGAUUUUUUGAGCCUUAUCUCUAGAAGAUAAGAGAGGGAAGCCACACAAUACAUUAAGCUACAUUUUGCAAGAUAGUGGAGAGAGAAGAGAGCAAAGAGGAGGAGUUCUUGAAGCUUCAAGGAGGAAGCUCGAAAAUGGAGGGGAAAGCCUUGCUUCUUCCUUUUUCUAGCUCACUCAUGGGUAACUAAACCUCAUCUAGGGAGGUGAUGAAGCCUCCCCUUUUGUUCAUGUUCUAGAUUAGGUUCUAUUUUGGGGAUUAUGAUGUAUAAACUUUGGUCUUUUCAUAGUUUAAGAGCUUAUUACUUCUUGUAAUGAAUAUUCAUGCUUAAAUGAUUGAUGUGAGUUAUUUAGCUUGUCUU